rnacentral:rRNA from 1 species
GAUGAACGCUGGCGGCGUGCCUAAUACAUGCAAGUCGAGCGAACAGACGAGGAGCUUGCUCCUCUGAUGUUAGCGGCGGACGGGUGAGUAACACGUGGAUAACCUACCUAUAAGACUGGGAUAACUUCGGGAAACCGGAGCUAAUACCGGAUAAUAUAUUGAACCGCAUGGUUCAAAAGUGAAAGACGGUCUUGCUGUCACUUAUAGAUGGAUCCGCGCUGCAUUAGCUAGUUGGUAAGGUAACGGCUUACCAAGGCAACGAUGCGUAGCCGACCUGAGAGGGUGAUCGGCCACACUGGAACUGAGACACGGUCCAGACUCCUACGGGAGGCAGCAGUAGGGAAUCUUCCGCAAUGGGCGAAAGCCUGACGGAGCAACGCCGCGUGAGUGAUGAAGGUCUUCGGAUCGUAAAACUCUGUUAUUAGGGAAGAACAUAUGUGUAAGUAACUGUGCACGUCUUGACGGUACCUAAUCAGAAAGCCACGGCUAACUACGUG